rnacentral:rRNA from 1 species
GAUGAACGCUGGCGGCGUGCCUAAUACAUGCAAGUCGAGCGAACAGACGAGGAGCUUGCUCCUCUGACGUUAGCGGCGGACGGGUGAGUAACACGUGGAUAACCUACCUAUAAGACUGGGAUAACUUCGGGAAACCGGAGCUAAUACCGGAGAAUAUAUUGAACCGCAUGGUUCAAUAGUGAAAGACGGUUUUGCUGUCACUUAUAGAUGUAUCCGCGCCGCAUUAGCUAGUUGGUAAGGUAACGGCUUACCCAGGCAACGAUGCGUAGCCGACCUGAGAGGGUGAUCGCCCACCCUGGAACUUAGACACGGUCCAUACUCCUACGGGAGGCCGCAGUAGGGAAUCUUCCGCAAUGGGCGAAAGCUUGACGGAGCAACGCCGCGUGAGUGAUGAAGGUCUUCGGAUCGUAAAACUCUGUUAUUAGUGAAGAACAAAUGUGUAAGUAACUAUGCACGUCUUGACGGUACCUAAUCAGAAAGCCACGGCUAACUACGUG